GAGAAUGCGUAAUCAAUUCCAUUCCCGAUCGUGAACGGCUGAUCGCAUACACCACAAAAUAACAAGUCGCUAGUGCUGUUUUGUAUGAAGUUGAGUGAGACUGUGUUCACACAGAGACACUUUUUUCGCUCAGUAUCGACAAAUUCUCUUUUCGUGUUAACAUAGGCAACAUGAGCCAUCCGGCUUGAGUCGGACAAUUUUCUUUCAUAUCACAUUCUCAAGUUCUUGUACGUGGUGCACAAAAGUAUUUUUGAUUAGCUAAUUUUUAUUCACCCUUUUCUAAAACAUAUCUAUAACACAUUGCAAGGAUAAUACAAUUUAAAUUUCCGAAUAUAAAAUGAAAGUAUCAGUUGAUAUUCGGCUUUCAUUCAUAGCUCGGGAGCACGGUCCUAACGCCUUUCCUCGUCGCCCCUUCGCCAACAAAAACCUGUUUGGACGACAAGGAACCCUUCGUGUGAACUCAGUCUCAGCAGCUGGAGAAGAGACUUUUUCAUAAAAAACUGAAAUUCACGACAUAUGGCGGUUGGAAGUAAAAUUGGUCAUCAUAGUUGUUCUCACUUUCAUUCACGCUUUUCAACGUUAUGCUUGAAAGUCAGUCUAUUCUUUUGAGACUUCAAUGGAAAUGGUUAAGCUUGGACUCGACCAACAAGUUCCCUUUAGCAAUUAACAUACAUAUGUAUGUAUGUAUGUAUGUAUGUAUGUAUAGCUUUUUGUCUACCAACUCAUCAUUUACUCAUCAACAGUAGAUCACACGUAUGUAUGUAAGUCGUGUCAAGCUG